UGGGGAAUAUUGGACAAUGGAGGAAACUCUGAUCCAGCAAUUCUGUGUGUGUGAAGAAGGUUUUAGGACUGUAAAACACUUUUAGUAGGGAAGAAAAAAAUGACGGUACCUACAGAAGAAGCAACGGCUAAAUACGUGCCAGCAGCCGCGGUAAUACGUAUGUUGCGAGCGUUAUCCGGAAUUAUUGGGCGUAAAGGGCAUCUAGGCGGUAAGACAAGUUGAAGGUGAAAACCUGUGGCUCAACCAUAGGCUUGCCUACAAAACUGUUGAACUAGAGUACUGGAAAGGUGGGUGGAACUACACGAGUAGAGGUGAAAUUCGUAGAUAUGUGUAGGAAUGCCGAUGAUGAAGAUAACUCACUGGACAGAAACUGACGCUGAAGUGCGAAAGCUAGGGGAGCAAACAGG
rnacentral:rRNA from 1 species